AACUAAAAAGGAUGGAUCCUAUAGAUGUUGAGACAGUAUGUUUGCCUGUGUUCUUACUGUCCAAUGAAUAAUUUCUUUUGACAGUCCAUUUCCAUUUGCAGGUCUCAUUUAUAGAAACUAAAAAGGAUGGAUCCUAUAGAUGUUGAGAUGGUAUGUUUGCCUGUGUUCUUACUGUCCAAUGAAUAAUUUCUUUUGACAGUCCAUUUCCAUUUGCUUCAAACAAAUAAUUUGUACUCCUUAAAUGGAGUUAAGAUAUUGAAACUUUAUUUCUACCAAGGCUUUGAAAUAUUGACUUUGGAUAGAUAUUAGAAAUGUGAAGUUAUAAAUUUAUGUUAGAGAAGUACUUACCAAAUCAUACUCUGUUUAGGUGCUACUGCUGAUGAGAAAUCUAUCUAUCAAUUUAAGGAGCCCAGAUUUUGAGGAUCAUGUGUGACACUUUUUAGAGGCUUCUCCAUGAGAAAGGAGCUAUAUGAACAUGAUGGAGUUUGUAAUUUGUAGUUUAUAUUUUGGAGAUUUAUAAUUUCUUAUUUUUCUUGUCCUAUGUAUCUAUCUAGUUCAUUAGGGUUCUUCAAUGUAUCUUGUUAGUUUGUACUUUAAAGUUUAUAUGUUGAAGAUUUAUAAAA